rnacentral:tRNA from 1 species
UCCCUGGUGGCUCAGAGGGUAAAGAAUCUGCCUGCAAUGCAGGAGACCCAGGUUCAGUUCCUGGGUUGGGAA